rnacentral:sRNA from 1 species
UCCAUUCCAAUCACCAAUAAAGAGAUUAUAAAAGGAAUUAAGAUCCUGCAAAAUGCAAUAAUACAACAAGAUGAGCGACUGGCCAAAGCAAUGGUCAGUGAUGGUUCCUUUCAUAUUACCCUGCUGGUGAUGCAAUUAUUAAAUGAAGAUGAAGUAAACAUUGGUAUUGAUGCUCUUUUGGAAUUGAAACCAUUCAUAGAAGAACUCCUCCAAGGAAAACAUUUGACUUUGCCCUUUCAAGGGAUUGGCACUUUUGGAAAUCAGGUUGGAUUUGUGAAGCUGGCAGAAGGAGAUCAUGUAAACUCACUUUUGGAGAUCGCAGGGAGUGAAAAAAAUAGAUCCUGAUUUAUAUGAAAAGUUUAUCAGUCACAGAUUUGGAGAAGAAAUAUUAUAUCGCAUAGAUCUUUGCUCC